AGCAGCCGCGGUAAUUCCAGCUCCAAUAGCGUAUAUUAAAGUUGUUGCAGUUAAAAAGCUCGUAGUUGAAUUUCGGGAUCAGUAGGUUGGUCAUACCUCUGGUAUGUACUGGUCUCACUGAUUCCUCCCUCUUGAAGAACUGUAAUGUCAUUAAUUUGAUGUUGCGGGGAAUCAGGACUGUUACUUUGAAAAAAUUAGAGUGUUUAAAGCAGGCUCACGCUUGAAUACAUUAGCAUGGAAUAAUGAAAUAGGACGUAUGAUCCUAUUUUGUUGGUUUCUAGGAUUGACGUAAUGAUUAAUAGGGAUAGUUGGGGGCAUUAGUAUUCAAUUGUCAGAGGUGAAAUUCUUGGAUUUAUUGAAGACUAACUACUGCGAAAGCAUUUGCCAAGGAUGUUUUCAUUAAUCAAGAACGAAAGUUAGGGGAUCGAAGACGAUCAGAUACCGUCGUAGUCUUAACCAUAAACUAUGCCGACUAGGGAUCGGAUGAUGUUAAUUUUUUAAUGACUCAUUCGGCGCCUUA
rnacentral:rRNA from 1 species